rnacentral:rRNA from 1 species
GACGAACGCUGGCGGCGUGCCUAAUACAUGCAAGUAGAACGCUGAAGAGAGGAGCUUGCUCUUCUUGGAUGAGUUGCGAACGGGUGAGUAACGCGUAGGUAACCUGCCUUGUAGCGGGGGAUAACUAUUGGAAACGAUAGCUAAUACCGCAUAACAAUGGAUGACACAUGGCAUUUAUGUGAAAGGGGCAAUUGCUCCACUACAAGAUGGACCUGCGUUGUAUUAGCUAGUAGGUGAGGUAACGGCUCACCUAGGCGACGAUACAUAGCCGACCUGAGAGGGUGAGCGGCCACACUGGGACUGAGACACGGCCCAGACUCCUACGGGAAGCAGCAGUAGGGAAUCUUCGGCAAUGGGGGCAACCCUGACCGAGCAACGCCGCGGGAGUGAAGAAGGUUUUCGGAUCGUAAAGCUCUGUUGUAAGUCAAGAACGAGUGUGAGAGUGGAAAGUUCACACUGUGACGGUAGCUUACCAGAAAGGGACGGCUAACUACGUG